rnacentral:lncRNA from 1 species
CCUUGAAGGAGUUUGACAUCCAUUACAGGCAAGCAUCACUGCCCAAGAACCAGGGUCUCCAAUACCAAGAUAUGAAAGCAAGGACUGUUCUGAAACAAGACCAAAUCUAUGCUUUUCAUUAGGUAGAAAGAACUCUCUUGCCACAGCCAUGAACUUUGAGAAGCUGGAGUCGAAUUGUUGAAACUGUUCAUAGGUACAAGAAA